CUCCUCUUCCAAUGCCGAUUCACUCUACGGGUGUGGAAUGAUACUAUUCCGUGGCUUAGAAUGCACUACGUCAACACGGCCACCUGGGCGGCGAGGGUCUCGGUGAGAGACUGGUGGACCAGCAACAUACACAUUCGGGUCAGAUCUCCCAAGGCGCUGGCCUCUCUGAUGAUGCUCAUCUCAUGGGAGAUUUGGACCGAACGCAAUGCUAGAGUCUUCCGUAACACAGCCGUCCCUUCGAUGGAACUCAUUUCCAAGAUUAAAGAGGAGGUGUCUCUUUGGGCUUUGGCCGGUGCGAAGCAGUUGGGUAUUGUAAUGCCGCGAGAGUAG
rnacentral:rRNA from 1 species